CAGUGGUAGGGAAGCGAAAGCGGACCGACCCUUCGGGGAGCUGUUACAGGUGUUGCAUGGCUGUCGUCAGCUCGUGUCGUGAGAUGUUCGGUUAAGUCCGCUAACGAGCGCAACCCGCGUUGUGUGUUACAAGUGUCACACAAUACCGCCGGUAUUAAGUCGGAGGAAGGUGCGGAUGACGUCAAGUCAGCAUGACCUUUAUAUCCAGGGCUACACACACGCUACAAUGGUCAGCACAAUAGGUUGCCAAGUCGUGAGACGGAGCCAAUCCUCCAAAGCUGGCCUCAGUUCAGAUUGUAGGCUGCAACCCGCCUGCAUGAAGUUGGAGUUGCUAGUAACUGCAGGUCAGCUAUACUGCGGUGAAUACGUUCCCGGGGAUU
rnacentral:rRNA from 1 species